GGACCCGCACAAGCGGUGGAUGAUGUGGAUUAAUUCGAUGCAACGCGAAAAACCUUACCUACCCUUGACAUGGUCGGAAUCCUGAAGAGAUUUGGGAGUGCUCGAAAGAGAACCGGCGCACAGGUGCUGCAUGGCUGUCGUCAGCUCGUGUCGUGAGAUGUUGGGUUAAGUCCCGCAACGAGCGCAACCCUUGUCAUUAGUUGCUACGAAAGGGCACUCUAAUGAGACUGCCGGUGACAAACCGGAGGAAGGUGGGGAUGACGUCAAGUCCUCAUGGCCCUUAUGGGUAGGGCUUCACACGUCAUACAAUGGUACAUACAGAGGGCUGCCAACCCGCGAGGGGGAGCUAAUCCCAGAAAGUGUAUCGUAGUCCGGAUUGUAGUCUGCAACUCGACUACAUGAAGUUGGAAUCGCUAGUAAUCGCGGAUCAGCAUGUCGCGGUGAAUACGUUCCCGGGUCUU
rnacentral:rRNA from 1 species